AGGUCCGCUUAUAAAAACCCUGCUCAGUCUUUGUUCAAUGCUCAGCUUUUUGGAUGUGAGUCCUCUGAGCCGGCCUCCGUGGCACUCAGUAAGCAGCGGGCUCAGGGAGAGCGUCCUGGAUGGUCACCAUGCAGUGAGACAGGGCGGCCACGGUGCAGACAGUCGCCAUGCUCUUCAUCGCUGGUGAGAAGGGGCGGCCAUGGUGCAGACAGUCGCCA